GGAAAGCCGGUGCAAAUCCGGCGCUGACCCGCAACCGUGAACCGGUCGCCGUAUCGCGCUCUCCAGGCCGAUGCGCGGCGGCCGGUGAGCCGGACC
rnacentral:ncRNA from 2 species